rnacentral:rRNA from 1 species
AACGAACGCUGGCGGCAGGCCUAACACAUGCAAGUCGAGCGAGGACUUCGGUCCUAGCGGCGGACGGGUGCGUAACGCGUGGGAACGUGCCCCUUGGUACGGAAUAGCCCCGGGAAACUGGGAGUAAUACCGUAUGAGCUCUACGGAGGAAAGAUUUAUCGCCAAGGGAUCGGCCCGCGUUGGAUUAGGUAGUUGGUGGGGUAAUGGCCUACCAAGCCGACGAUCCAUAGCUGGUUUGGGAGGAUGAUCAGCCACACUGGGACUGAGACACGGCCCAGACUCCUACGGGAGGCAGCAGUGGGGAAUCUUAGACAAUGGGGGAAACCCUGAUCUAGCCAUGCCGCGUGAUCGAUGAAGGCCUUAGGGUUGUAAAGAUCUUUCAGUGGGGAAGAUAAUGACUGUACCCACAGAAGAAGCCCCGGCUAACUCCGUGCCAGCCGCCGCGGUAACAC